rnacentral:rRNA from 1 species
UUUGUCUUUUAAUUGUGGACUGGAAUGAAGGGUUAGACUAAAUAUUUUUGUCUUACAUUGAUAUAUUAAAAUUUAUAAUUUAGUAAAAAAGCUAAAAUUCUUCUUAAAGACGAGAAGACCCUUUCAAGCUUUACAAUUUUAUUUUAACAUCAAAUUAUAAGAAAGAUUGUUUUACUGGGGCAGUAAGCAAACAAAUUUUGCUUCAAAAUUGUGAUUAAUACAUCUUGAAAAAUCAAGAAAUUUUUAAAUAAGAAUAAGUUACUGUAGGGAUAACAGCAUAAUUUUUUUAAAGAGUUCUCAUCAUCAAAAAAUUUUGUGACCUCGAUGUUGGAUUAAGAGACCUCUUUCGCGCAAUAGUAAAAAAAGGAAGUCUGUUCGACUUUUAAUUUCUUCCA